rnacentral:rRNA from 1 species
UACGAAGGGGGCUAGCGUUAUUCGGAAUCACUGGGCGUAAAGGGCGCGUAGGCGGCUGUUCAAGUCGGGGGCGAAAUCCCGUGGCUCAACCACGGAAUGGCCUUCGAUACUGGACGGCUGGAGACCGGAAGAGGUGAGUGGAACUGCGAGUGUAGAGGUGAAAUUCGUAGAUAUUCGCAAGAACACCAGUGGCGAAGGCGGCUCACUGGUCCGGUUCUGACGCUGAGGCGCGAAAGCGUGGGGAGCAAACAGG